rnacentral:rRNA from 1 species
UACGUAGGGGGCAAGCGUUGUCCGGAUUUAUUGGGCGUAAAGAGCGUGUAGGCGGUUUGGUAGGUCCGCUGUGAAAACUCGAGCUCAACCUCGAGACGCCGGUGGAAACCAUCAGACUAGAGUCCGGAAGAGGAGAGUGGAAUUCCCGGUGUAGCGGUGAAAUGCGCAGAUAUCGGGAAGAACACCCGUGGCGAAGGCGGCUCUCUGGGACGGUACUGACGCUGAGACGCGAAAGCGUGGGGAGCGAACAGG